UCCCUUAGUAGCGGCGAGCGAACAGGGAAGAGCCCAGCGCCGAAUUCCGCGUCUCAAAGGGCGUUUGGAACAUGUGGCGUUUAGGAGGAAUCUCUCCGAGGGCAGACGGUGUCGCAAGUCCCCCUGAACGGGGCUGUGAUCCAGAGCGGGUGCGAGGCCCAUAGCUGGUACCGUCUCCUUCGGGUGUCCCCUCCUUGGAGUCGGGUUGCUUGGGAGUGCAGCCCUAAUUGGGUGGUAAACUCCACCUAAGGCUAAAUACGUCCGUGAGACCGAUAGCAAACAAGUACCGUGAGGGAAAGUUGCAAAGAACUUUGAAGAGAGAGUUCAAGAGUACGUGAAACCGCUCAGAGGCAAACGGGUGGGCCCACGAAAGCCGAAGGCGGGGGGAUUCAGUCGAGAGGACGGUGGGGCAGGACUGGCUGGUUGGACGGACCGUGCCAGGCCGGGUCAGUUCCCGAGAUCUGCCGCCUUUCGACGCAUUUCCCCCUGCUUAGUAGGACGCCGCAACCGGUUGGCGCUGCAGCCAUAAGGGARAGUAAAUGGAAGGUAGCCAGUGAGUUCUUCUUCGGAGGCGCGAGCUGGUCCUAAGCCGACUCUCCUGGUGCUUGUGGCCCGACCGUGGUCGUGAGUCCCUCAACGGGAUGUCGCCGAGCCCUCUGACUGGAGCGGGAGAAAUGGCAGGCUGCUUUCCGCGGAAAAAAUCGAUCGCUUCACGCGUGCAGUGGGCGAUCUCCGGAGGUAGCUGCUGGUGCAUUUUUCUCCUGCGCUGGGCACAGGCAGUUGGCGGCGAGUAGGUCGGUCACCCACCCGACCCGUCUUGAAACACGGACCAAGGAGUCUAACAUGUGCGCGAGUCAUUGGGUCUUGAACAAGCCCAAAGGCGCAAUGAAAGUGAAGACCAGCACUGAAGCUGGUGGAGUUGGGAAACUGCGUCACUGAAGAUGCAGUUGCACCAACGGCCCGUCCCGUCCGCAUCGUCGGUGGGGCGGAGCGAGAGCGUACACGUUGGGACCCGAAAGAUGGUGAACUAUGCCUGGGCAGGACGAAGCCAGAGGAAACUCUGGUGGAGGUCCG
rnacentral:rRNA from 1 species